UGACGCCGUACCACGAGGUGGCGGUCGGUCCCCGGCAGGGAUCGGCCGCCACCUCGCCGCGUGGCGGCCGACGUUCGGGCCGGCGGGCGGCGAC
rnacentral:tRNA from 1 species